rnacentral:misc_RNA from 1 species
AGGAAGUACUUAACAACUUUGAUUUUCAAGAAUUAACUUUAUAUCAAAAAUGCAAACAAGAUCACAAGUUCCAUUUUCAAUGAAAGAUCUUUUAUGAAUUUGACAAUUAACGGGUCGGCAACAAAUUUAAGCAAUCAUGCAUGAGCCUUUCAAGACUACUUAUUUAUUUGUGCAAAUGUUCUUUUCUACAAUUUAUAAUACUUAAGCAAGAUUUGUCUGUUCACAUAUAUUUCCAACACAUAAGAAUUUGCAAAUUUUAGACAAAU